GACGUAGGGCGCGAGCGUUGUCCGGAUUUAUUGGGCGUAAAGAGCUCGUAGGCGGCCUGUCACGUCGGAUGUGAAAGCCCGGGGCUUAACCCCGGGUCUGCAUUCGAUACGGGCAGGCUAGAGUUCGGUAGGGGAGAUCGGAAUUCCUGGUGUAGCGGUGAAAUGCGCAGAUAUCAGGAGGAACACCGGUGGCGAAGGCGGAUCUCUGGGCCGAUACUGACGCUGAGGAGCGAAAGCGUGGGGAGCGAACAGG
rnacentral:rRNA from 1 species